GCCUGGCUGGCUCAGUGAGGAGAGCAUGUGACUCUUGAUCUCAGAGUUGUGAGUUUGAACCCCACGUUGUGUG
rnacentral:tRNA from 1 species